rfam:Lactobacillus parafarraginis F0439 genomic scaffold Scfld1857, whole genome shotgun sequence.
UUUGGGGUAGGAUGUAACGCGUAAAGUGUCGAAGGGACGGAAUGUGACCUUCGAACGAAAAGCCAUCAGGUCGACUUUCUGGUAGCUUGCGGUGUUGCUUUCGCAUUCGCCAUU